CCUACGGGAGGCUGCAGUGGGGAAUAUUGGACAAUGGGGGGAACCCUGAUCCAGCCAUGCCGCGUGUGUGAAGAAGGCCCUCGGGUUGUAAAGCACUUUCAGUGAGGAAGAACGCCUGGUGGUUAAUACCCAUCAGGAAAGACAUCACUCACAGAAGAAGCACCGGCUAACUCCGUGCCAGCAGCCGCGGUAAUACGGAGGGUGCGAGCGUUAAUCGGAAUUACUGGGCGUAAAGCGCGCGUAGGUGGCUUGAUAAGCCGGUUGUGAAAGCCCCGGGCUCAACCUGGGAACGGCAUCCGGAACUGUCAAGCUAGAGUGCAGGAGAGGAAGGUAGAACUCCCGGUGUAGCGGUGAAAUGCGUAGAGAUCGGGAGGAAUACCAGUGGCGAAGGCGGUCUUCUGGACUGACACUGACACUGAGGUGCGAAAGCGUGGGUAGCAAACAGGAUUAGAUACCCCUGUAGUC
rnacentral:rRNA from 1 species